rnacentral:rRNA from 1 species
CUCUCCCAGUUUAUUGGGAGUAGUCCCUGCCCGGUGAUUGAUUUUAAACGGCGGCGUUAAGUUUUAAAGUAGCAUAGUAAGUUGUCCCUUAAUUAGGGUCUGGUAUGAAUGGGUUGACGUGGGGAGGCUGUCUCAAAAGGAGUUAAUGAAGUUUUCAUCCUAGUGAAAAGCCUGGGAUACAUUUAAAAGACGAGAAGACCCCGUCGAGCUUGAUGAUCUUAUUAAGUUUUAAUUUGUAAAGUUUUGUUGGGGCAACAAGGGAGAAUUAUAACCUCCCGUAUUAGGCAUAGAUCCUCUGGUAGAGAUAAAAGGAAAAAGUUACCGCGGGGAUAACAGCGCAAAACCACCUGAGAGCUCGUAUUGAAGGUGGUACAUGCGACCUCGAUGUUGGAUUAAGGGAGCGGCCGUGCGCA